rnacentral:ribozyme from 1 species
GACCACCCGCCGACGGGCACCGAAUCGUUCAUCUUGCAGGCCAUCCUCCAUGCGGGCCUCAAGUUGGUCAUGGUGCCUCACGAGUCUCUCCCCGAGGCCGACUGCAUGCUCGA